AAACACUUUAAAAUGAAUAAAAACACAUAUGGUGCUCAGAAAACAGCCCACACUAGAACUAUGUCAUCUUUUUGAACAAACUCAAAGACAUAACUAUGUUAUUGUGAGCUUAGUGUUAUUUUUUUGGUUUUCAACACCCCCUGACUUUUUGACAGAUGGUACAACCAGGAAGUGGAAUGGCCUCAUAAAAUGGCCGCAGACUGUUUUGACAAAUCAAAAAGGAAGGGUUAAGGGUGAGCUGGAGUCGAUGUCAGCUGAUUUUGGGCGAGAGGCGGGGUACACACUGGACUGGUCGCCAGCCAAUCGCAGACUCUGUGUGUAACGAUGACCAACUUGGAUUGCCGCUGGUCAUUAAGGAAGCUCCUGCCUGCUGGUUUGUCAACUAUUCAUCUCCUGCCAAACAACUAAGGAAGCUUCUCAUCAUUAAAGAAGAAUAACAAGCAGCCCAAGCUUGAAAGAGUACGAGUUAUUGGGAAAACAAAAACGUGAACUGGUGGACACCCUUCUUGCUUGAAAAUGAUCUUUUCCUGCACCUCUCAUGAUGGUUGAAGCUCAGCUCAGGUGUAUCCUGCCUUCUGCCCCAGUGCAGCUGGGGUCGGCCCCAGCUCCCCCGGCCCCGAGAGGGACAAGCAGUAGGAAAUGGAUGGAUGAACCUUGGACCCAAUUUAACUAUAAACAUCUCUGUGCAGCUGACUGGAUGAGCCAGGAAGAAGAUACACUCCCGCCAUGACUCUCUGCUGGUUUCCCCACAGACAGAACUCCCACUUUUUCUAUUAAAUCAGCGGUCCCCAAACUUUUUGACACAUUGGGUUAAAAUAAUUUGUCUGGGACCAGGCUAUCUAUUUGUGUGUACUGUGUGUGUGUGUUUGAUAUAUACAGUAUAUACAUACAUAU